CAAACUGUGGAUUCUCCUUGCACACAUACACACGAUUCACACACGUGCACUUUAUUCACACACAGGCAGAUACAGAGUGAUUUAUGCAUGUGGGAGGUGGACGUGAGGAACAUAACGUGAGGACUAAACUGAGCUCAGAGACAGUCUGACAUCACAGGGCCUGAAGGUUCACUGAGGCACGAGGCGUCUGCCUCAGUAUGACAUGCAGUAUCCUCUGCUAUCUGACUUGUUGUCAUGCCCUGGUGUAAAAGUCUCUCUCACUCUCUCUGAUAAAAAAGAUGGACGUCAAUGAGGCUGUUUGUCUGUCUUAUCAGUAGCUCUUCAGCUCAGAGGACCUGUUUCAAAGGUUUCCACGAUUACAAAGGUUCACUGUUGGCGCAGGGGUCGAACUGAUGUCAGGGGUGAGGACGGAUUUCUAGAAUCAUGAGGAAAACUUUUGCAUAAUCGGAAUGGGCCAGCUGGAGGAGAGAGAGAGAGAGCGUGCAGGCCUUCAAACGGAGCCAAGCCAGGCUGGUCCAGGUCUGGACAGAGCAGACUUGAUGAGCAGAGCGAGGAAAGGCACCAGAGGGGUUCUAUGACGAAGGGGUUUGCGUGCAACGAAGGAUCAGUUUCUCCAGUAACAUAUGAAGACCAGCUGAGACAAACCUCAAAUGACCUCGAACAGCAUGCCUCCUUAUGAUGGGCCGCAGCUAAAACCCGACGUGGAACCGGACUCCAGUAAAACUAAAUAACAAAACAACAACUGGAGUGGAGUCGUGUCGGGCUGAAAUAGCAGAAAACCACAUGGCAUUCAUUUGCUAGCCCUUCAGUCGUCAUAAAGGCGAGUGACAGUUUGACAAAUCUUUGGAAAUUCGUUGUGUAUUUGCUUAAGAAUUAAAUAUUACAGUGGCGCAGACCUUUGAAACGUUAACUAAUUCGAGGGAAAUAAGGCCCAUUAGCAAGAAGUGUGUUUGUAUUUAUAGUUUUUAUAAGUGAAAAAGGAAGAAGGAAACCAAACUGAAAUCAUUUAAACCCCUUUCUACGAAGAGCUAUUGUCUUUUACUGAAAGAGGGAAGUGACACUGAUUUUAUGUGAAGUGAUGUGCGUGUUGGUGGCUACAAAUAAACACAUAUAUAGUAUUUACUAUUACUCAUAUAACUGAUUAACUCUUUCAAUCAUUUUCAAGGUAAAAUGUCAAGCUUCUUAAAUACAAAUAUUUGCUAUUGUUUUCCUUUUUAUGACGCGGUGCAUUUAAUGUUUUGUGGGUUUUGGACUGUUGGUUGGAUAAAAAAAGUGAUUCGAAGAUCUCAUCCUGGGCUUUAGAAAAUGUAGAUUUUGUAGACUGAAUAAUUAAUCAGUUAAUCCAGAAAAAAUUAGUAGAUUUAUCAAUAGAGUUGCAGCUGUAUAUUCAGUUGGAUAGAAACCAAGUAUGAUUACUUUUGUAAGUCAAUGCAGAUUUCCUAGACACACAAGGUCAAGAUUAACUAGGAAAACAAAUAAGCAAAAACUUAAAUGAACUAUACAGAAUGAGAAUGUUUUACAGCUAUUUUGGGGCAAAUCUGGCAAUUCGGCCCCUUGAAGACUCUUGACUCACACUGUUUGCUCUCGACAUCAGACGUGGAGGGAUUGUUUUCCAGACAUCAUUGACAUCAUUACUUACAUUGUGGGAUAAGCGAAGAUGACAUAAUUGGAUGGAGCUGUGGAUGACUGCAGACAGAUUGACAAACAGCCCAAAGUUUGGUUUGCUCUCACGAGAGUGAGAAAAAUGGAACUGUACUGAGGAAAAGUUUAUCGCAGUAGUUACAUUUGUUUGUUUUUUUUUGCCUUGUAGCUAUCACAUCAAACAUAAUAAAGAAUCACAAAAAACACCUUUAAGAUCCCCAUACAUCUACGGUAUAAAUAACCUUCUGGAUUCUUCUGGAAGUUGUCUUUCAUAUAUUCUAUAUGUGGUGAACAAUUACAGCAGUUUUUCUCUCACAUGGUAAUUGAUUGGCUUACAAAGCAGAUAUAAACGAAGGCAGGAAUUUGAAUUUAAUCAACAACUGCUCUAUGAUCUGGUUUUCAUAAAACUCAUGACCUGAACUGACAUUUGUGCUCUUUACGUUUCUUGCUGGCCUCGAGCUUAGUCAACCAAUCUCACUGAGAGGACGCAAAGAUACUGUUGGAAGGUUUGUUUACAAGCCACAAAAUGCAACAGACCUGCCAUUUCAGGGCCGAGACAAUUUUGAAACAAGGUUGAUGACGUGUUAUCUCAUUUCAAGUUAGCUCUAUCGACAUAAUAAAGAAUGAUGUUAAUCUUGUUUUGAAAUUAAUAUUCACACUUGACUACGUUUGUUGGUUGAAAACUAAUAGAGAACCAAAUCAAAUAGAGGAAUGAAAUUUACAGUUGAAGACCUGAUAACAUCGUAAUGACUCAACCAACUCUUUGCACAAAGCCUCUUCAUAUACAAGCAUGUCUAAACAAACACAAACACCUCCACAGGAGCAAGUGG